CCUACGGGCGGCAGCAGUGGGGGAUAUUGCACAAUGGGGGAAACCCUGCUACAGCGACGCCGCGUGGGUGAAGAAGCGCCUCGGCACGGAACGCUCUGUCAGCAGGAAAGAAAAUGACGGUACCUGAAGAAGAAGCACCGGCUCACUACGUGCCAGCAGCCGCGGUAAUACGUAGGGGGCAAGCGUUAUCCGGCUUUACUGGGUGUAAAGGGGGCGCAGACGGCUGUGCAAGUCAGGAGUGAAAGCCCGGGGCCCAACCCCGGGACUGCGCUUGGAACUGCGUGGCUGGAGUGCAGGAGGGGUAGGCGGAAUUCCUGGUGUAGCGGUGAAAUGCGUAGAUAUCAGGAGGAACACCGGUGGCGAAGGCGGCCUGCUGGACUGUAACUGACGUUGAGGCCCGAAAGCGUGGGGAGCAAACAGGAUUAGAUACCCCAGUAGUC
rnacentral:rRNA from 1 species